rnacentral:rRNA from 1 species
UAUAGCAUCAGGGUUCCACCUCUUCCCAUUCCGAACAGAGAAGUUAAGCCUGAUCACGCCGAUGGUACUGCGUAACAGUGGGAGAGUAGGUAGUCGCCGUUUU